rnacentral:rRNA from 1 species
AGAGUGGGGGAUAACGGAGCGAAAGCUUUGCUAAUACCGCAUACGAUCUACGGAUGAAAGCAGGGGACCGCAAGGCCUUGCGCUCAUGGAGCGGCCGAUGGCAGAUUAGGUAGUUGGUGGGAUAAAAGCUUACCAAGCCGACGAUCUGUAGCUGGUCUGAGAGGACGACCAGCCACACUGGGACUGAGACACGGCCCAGACUCCUACGGGAGGCAGCAGUGGGGAAUUUUGGACAAUGGGCGCAAGCCUGAUCCAGCCAUGCCGCGUGCAGGAUGAAGGCCUUCGGGUUGUAAACUGCUUUUGUACGGAACGAAAAGCCUCUUUCUAAUAAAGAGGGGUCAUGACGGUACCGUAAGAAUAAGCACCGGCUAACUACGUGCCAGCAGCCGCGGUAAUACGUAGGGUGCGAGCGUUAAUCGGAAUUACUGGGCGUAAAGCGUGCGCAGGCGGUAAUGUAAGACAGAUGUGAAAUCCCCGGGCUCAACCUGGGAACUGCAUUUGUGACUGCAUUGCUGGAGUGCGGCAGA